UGGGCAACCUGCCCCUGGCCCUGGGAUAACUCCAAGAAAUUGGGGCUAAUACCGGAUAUGACUGCUGACCGCAUGGUCUGGUGGUGGAAAGAUUUAUCGGCUGGGGAUGGGCCCGCGGCCUAUCAGCUUGUUGGUGGGGUAGUGGCCUACCAAGGCGACGACGGGUAGCCGGCCUGAGAGGGUGACCGGCCACACUGGGACUGAGACACGGCCCAGACUCCUACGGGAG
rnacentral:rRNA from 1 species